CAAUCCCUUCUUCCCAACCUUUGGUUUCCCUCAAAAAUUAAAAGCUUCACGAACCGCUGUUUUUUUUUUUGGUUUCCCUCAAUGACUCAAUCCCUUCUUCCCAACCCUUCUGUUUCACCCCAAACCCUUUUUCUCUUUCAUCUGUUUCGGGUCUUCUUCUCUCUGCUUCCUUCUUGUCGAUCAUAUUCAUCAUCGUUUUUGAAGCAAAUGCAAAUUGAAGAUUGGCGUUUCUUAAUUGGAAAUUGGGUGUAUGAAUUGGAGAUAAGGAGAAAUUGACAAUUUGCGUUUCUGAAUUGGCGAGAAGAACAAGGCUGCAUUGCUGCUUGUUGUUAACUUUCUGAAAAUACUUUAUCCAUGGAUUGUAUGUGUCAUGAUGUACUUCUCAAAAGUAACACGAGGGUUAGCUCCUUCUGUGCCUGGACCGAUUUCUUUUAGAGGUUCGUGUUUCUCUCUAUUUAAUUUUUUUUAUCAUGAAGAUAAGGAUUCUUUACAGGAGAUAACCUUUGUUGUAUGUGGGAUAUUUUGUAUAUGUUUGAAGUUUUGAACAAAUAGAUCUGCAGCCCAAUAGGCUACUCAAUACCUGAAUCUCAAUCAGCACAAUUAUCCCUGUGUUCCUGAAUAUAUAUCUUUAGGUAUUCCUAAGAUCUUAUUGCACUGAAUUCAUUUUGAUCGGCAAGAUCCUAACAUUAGGAGAGGGCCCUAGCCUUGAUAUAUGACGUGUACUCCCUCAUAAAAAAAUUGAAAGCUCAUCUUAAGCUUAAUCGCUCUUUGUUCAAUUUCUGGUGGAAUCAAAUUCUCAUCAGUACGAGUCAAAGUAGAGUUAAAUUCUGCUUAUCUUUAAUCUGUCAUAUUUCAUGAGAAUCAUUUGUAGUGUCUUGCAAUUACUUAAUUUUCCAUUUAGGCACUUGCGUAAAGUUGUAGUCUCUAUGAAUCUUGUGGUUUAGAGUGCUAAGUUUUUAUCAAGUUAUGCUCGAGACUCUGUACUAAGAACUCAUCAAGAUUCUUACAAGACUCUUUUGUAAGAGAGUAAAAUAUUAUAUUUCUUAGACUAUAUUUUUGCAACCUUAUGAAUUUGGCAACCUUAUGAAUAGUAGAUACCAACCUUAUGAAUUUGGCAAGCUCUUUUCUGAUGUAUCAAUUUUUCUCAUCAGUUAAGUCCCCUCCUGUUUGAUUAUAAGAGUUCCUUAUUUUAAACUUCAUGAUUUCUUAUAGUAGGUUGUGCUAGACAAGGAGAAACAAACAGCAACUGUGGACAUAGAAGCGGAUGGUGGUAUUGAACAACGAAUUUUUUUUGCGCUUCCCAAUUUAUUUUUAUUACCCACGAGUCCACAAAUUGAAUCUCUUUAUUUUCCAUUGGAAACUGGAAAACUUUUCUUAUUUUGCUGGCCUCUAAUUUGGUUUUGAUCUUUCAUUUCACUAUCUUCUCCAAUUUCCAAAUUUCGCUUGCAGUAUAGCCAGUAUUGGGAAUAAGAUCAGCCAUAACGUUUUCAAUUUUCAAUUUCUUCUUGUGUAAUUGUACAAUUUCAGCCUACUUAAACAGGUCCAUUUUUGUUAAUGGCUAUUAUCGAACACUUGAAUGCCAGGAGCUAUAUUCGCCCUGCCCCACCCCACCCCACCCCAUUGCUCCUAUCAAUUUUUUUUUUCCUUUGAAGUAUCCCAUAGCUCCUACGGAGUAUUUGAAGAUUUCACACUCUUUUUUAUUAAUUUAUUUAUUCACCAUUUUUUCUUAGCUGAAUGAUUUGCUAAGCUUGGAGAUUGGAUGCGCAUAGCCGUCUACUAAAGGAGUUGAUUUCUAGUGAGUCGUGAUUCGCACAGUGGCCCUCGUACUUAGGUAUUCCAGAUUCUUAAUAAAGCAGGUUUGUAGAGAUAACUUGCGGGAGAAGUUAUCAUGGGAUUCGAGUUGAGAGUUUAUUCUUCCGUAUUUUACAAACUCUAUUUUUAUUUAAAGUCAUGACUACUAUUUUCAGUUAAUAGAUUUCAAAUGGUUUAUUACUUUGGAUUUGGGCCUCAACGGUUCCAACUUGUUUAAUGACCAUUAACUAUUUAUUUAUUACGUUUUGAAAGUUAGUUAA